rnacentral:rRNA from 1 species
AAAUCUGGAUCAAGCUGAAAAUUGAAACACAGAACAACGAAAGUUGUUCGUGAGUCUCUCAAAUUUUCGCAACACGANCCGAAUGGGGAAACCCAGUGUGAUUCGUCACACUAUCAUUAACUGAAUCCAUAGGUUAAUGAGGCGAACCGGGGGAACUGAAACAUCUAAGUACCCCGAGGAAAAGAAAUCAACCGAGAUUCCCCCAGUAGCGGCGAGCGAACGGGGAGGAGCCCAGAGCCUGAAUCAGCAUGUGUGUUAGUGGAAGCGUCUGGAAAGGUGCGCGAUACAGGGUGACAGCCCCGUACACAAAAGCGCAUGUGCUGUGAGCUCGAUGAGUAGGGCGGGACACGUGGUAUCCUGUCUGAAUAUGGGGGGACCAUCCUCCAAGGCUAAAUACUCCUGACUGACCGAUAGUGAACCAGUACCGUGAGGGAAAGGCGAAAAGAACCCCGGCGAGGGGAGUGAAAAAGAACCUGAAACCGUGUACGUACAAGCAGUGGGAGCACNAGGGAAACCGAGUCUUAACCGGGCGUUAAGUUGCAGGGUAUAGACCCGAAACCCGGUGAUCUAGCCAUGGGCAGGUUGAAGGUUGGGUAACACUAACUGGAGGACCGAACCGACUAAUGUUGAAAAAUUAGCGGAUGACCUGUGGCUGGGGGUGAAAGGCCAAUCAAACCGGGAGAUAGCUGGUUCUCCCCGAAAGCUAUUUAGGUAGCGCCUCGUGAAUUCAUCUCCGGGGGUAGAGCACUGUUUCGGCUAGGGGGCCAUCCCGGCUUACCAACCCGAUGCAAACUGCGAAUACCGGAGAAUGUUAUCACGGGAGACACACGGCGGGUGCUAACGUCCGUCGUGAAGAGGGAAACAACCCAGACCGCCAGCUAAGGUCCCAAAGUCAUGGUUAAGUGGGAAACGAUGUGGGAAGGCCCAGACAGCCAGGAUGUUGGCUUAGAAGCAGCCAUCAUUUAAAGAAAGCGUAAUAGCUCACUGGUCGAGUCGGCCUGCGCGGAAGAUGUAACGGGGCUAAACCAUGCACCGAAGCUGCGGCAGCGAACGUAUCACCCAAGACAACUUUACGGAGUUGACGAUUGACGGAGCGAAGCGACGUCAAAGCGUUCAUUAAAGUCGAGUUGGCUUAGGGAUACGUUCGUUGGGUAGGGGAGCGUUCUGUAAGCCUGUGAAGGUGUGUCGUGAGGCAUGCUGGAGGUAUCAGAAGUGCGAAUGCUGACAUAAGUAACGAUAAAGCGGGUGAAAAGCCCGCUCGCCGGAAGACCAAGGGUUCCUGUCCAACGUUAAUCGGGGCAGGGUGAGUCGACCCCUAAGGCGAGGCCGAAAGGCGUAGUCGAUGGGAAACGGGUUAAUAUUCCCGUACUUGGUGUUACUGCGAAGGGGGGACGGAGAAGGCUAUGUUGGCCGGGCGACGGUUGUCCCGGUUUAAGCGUGUAGGUGUGUGUUCCAGGUAAAUCCGGUUCACUUUAACACUGAGGCGUGACGACGAGGCACUACGGUGCUGAAGCAACAAAUGCCCUGCUUCCAGGAAAAGCCUCUAAGCAUCAGGUAACACGAAAUCGUACCCCAAACCGACACAGGUGGUCAGGUAGAGAAUACCAAGGCGCUUGAGAGAACUCGGGUGAAGGAACUAGGCAAAAUGGUGCCGUAACUUCGGGAGAAGGCACGCUGACACGUAGGUGAAGUGAUUUACUCAUGGAGCUGAAGUCAGUCGAAGAUACCAGCUGGCUGCAACUGUUUAUUAAAAACACAGCACUGUGCAAACACGAAAGUGGACGUAUACGGUGUGACGCCUGCCCGGUGCCGGAAGGUUAAUUGAUGGGGUCAGCGUAAGCGAAGCUCCUGAUCGAAGCCCCGGUAAACGGCGGCCGUAACUAUAACGGUCCUAAGGUAGCGAAAUUCCUUGUCGGGUAAGUUCCGACCUGCACGAAUGGCGUAAUGAUGGCCAGGCUGUCUCCACCCGAGACUCAGUGAAAUUGAACUCGCUGUGAAGAUGCAGUGUACCCGCGGCAAGACGGAAAGACCCCGUGAACCUUUACUAUAGCUUGACACUGAACAUUGAGCCUUGAUGUGUAGGAUAGGUGGGAGGCUUUGAAGUGUGGACGCCAGUCUGCAUGGAGCCGACCUUGAAAUACCACCCUUUAAUGUUUGAUGUUCUAACGUGGACCCGUAAUCCGGGUUGCGGACAGUGUCUGGUGGGUAGUUUGACUGGGGCGGUCUCCUCCUAAAGAGUAACGGAGGAGCACGAAGGUUGGCUAAUCCUGGUCGGACAUCAGGAGGUUAGUGCAAUGGCAUAAGCCAGCUUGACUGCGAGCGUGACGGCGCGAGCAGGUGCGAAAGCAGGUCAUAGUGAUCCGGUGGUUCUGAAUGGAAGGGCCAUCGCUCAACGGAUAAAAGGUACUCCGGGGAUAACAGGCUGAUACCGCCCAAGAGUUCAUAUCGACGGCGGUGUUUGGCACCUCGAUGUCGGCUCAUCACAUCCUGGGGCUGAAGUAGGUCCCAAGGGUAUGGCUGUUCGCCAUUUAAAGUGGUACGCGAGCUGGGUUUAGAACGUCGUGAGACAGUUCGGUCCCUAUCUGCCGUGGGCGCUGGAGAACUGAGGGGGGCUGCUCCUAGUACGAGAGGACCGGAGUGGACGCAUCACUGGUGUUCGGGUUGUCAUGCCAAUGGCACUGCCCGGUAGCUAAAUGCGGAAGAGAUAAGUGCUGAAAGCAUCUAAGCACGAAACUUGCCCCGAGAUGAGUUCUCCCUGAGACUUAGAGUCUCCUGAAGGAACGUUGAAGACGACGACGUUGAUAGGCCGGGUGUGUAAGCGCAGCGAUGCGUUGAGCUAACCGGUACUAAUGAACCGUGAGGCUUAACCUU